AUGGAUUCUUUGACGCAGAGAGCUAACGGAAUAAGGAGGUGAACGCUAAGUCACCUGAAAAGGAACCUUAAAGUGCAAAUCAAUCGUCGCUAGGGUUGUCGACGUUCCAGCAAUAUUGUGUUGAGCAUCGUGUUAUAUGACCGUAAAUCGACCGAUCCAGGAUUGCGAUUAGGCCGACGACUCCGAGGCGUGAAUCACAUGCAGAAUGCGACUCGUAGGGUUAGGGUUUCGAAUUCCACCGGAUUAUUUGGCUAAAAUUGGAGAGGCCUACAAUCUUUCUUACAUAGAGAGAGAGAGAGAGAGAGAGAGGGAGAAAGAGAGAGAGAGAGAAUGAGAGAGGAUAGAGUUUGAUAAGUCGUUUGUCGAAAUUCGAAAGGGGGUGUGUGUAGCGUCUCGUAUCGUAUGCGC
rnacentral:lncRNA from 1 species